rnacentral:rRNA from 1 species
GACAGAGGGUGCAAACGUUGCUCGGAAUCACUGGGCGUAAAGGGUGCGUAGGCGGGUCUUUUAAGUCAGGGGUGAAAUCCUGGAGCUCAACUCCAGAACUGCCUUUGAUACUGAAGAUCUUGAGUUCGGGAGAGGUGAGUGGAACUGCGAGUGUAGAGGUGAAAUUCGUAGAUAUUCGCAAGACACCAGUGGCGAAGGCGGCUUACUGGCCAG